AACGAACGCUGGCGGCAUGCCUAACACAUGCAAGUCGAACGAGACCUUCGGGUCUAGUGGCGCACGGGUUCGUAACGCGUGGGAACCUUCCCUUAGGUUCGGAAUAACUCCCCGAAAGGGGUGCUAAUACCGGAUAAUGUCUUCUGACCAAAGAUUUAUCGCCCUUGGAUGGGCCCUCGUUGGAUUAGCUAGUUGGUAGGGUAAAAGCCUACCAAGGCGCCGAUCCAUAGCUUGUCUGAGAGGAUGGUCAGCGACACUGGGACUGAGACACGGCCCAGAAUCCUACGGGAGGCAGGAGUGGGGGAUAGUGGACAAUGGGCGAAAGCCUGAUGCAGCAAUGCCGCGUGAGUGAUGAAGGCAUUAGGGUUGUAAAGCUCUUUUACCCGGGAUGAUAAUGACAGUACCGAGAGAAUAAGCUCCGGCUAACUCCGUG
rnacentral:rRNA from 1 species